rnacentral:misc_RNA from 1 species
UCGUAACAAGGUUUCCGUAGGUGAACCUGCGGAAGGAUCAUUAGUGAAUAUUAGCGCAUCUACUUGUAGAGCGUGACCUCCACUUUCUAACUCUGUGCAUUUAUUGGCGGAAGGACUUGAGCAAUCGAGCUUCCUUCUGCGGCUCAUUUUAAAACACUAGUUAAAGUAUGUAACGAAAUAUCGAAACAAAAAAAACUUUCAACAACGGAUCUCUUGGCUUGCUCAUCGAUGAAGAACGCAGCGAAAUGUGAUAAGUAAUGUGAAUUGCAGAAUUCAGUGAAUCAUCGAAUCUUUGAACGCACCUUGCGCUCUCUGGUAUUCCGGAGAGCAUGUCUGUUUGAGUGUCAUGAACUCUUCAACCCACCAGUUUCUUGUAGACUGAAUGGUGUUUGGUUUCUGAGCGUUGCUGGUCUUCGGAUCUAGCUCGUUCGUAAUAUAUUAGCAUCUCUAAUUCGAACUCGGAUUGACUCAGUGUAAUAGACUAUUCGCUGAGGACACGCUCUUGUAGUGUGGCCGAAUGAGAUCUCAGUAGAAGCUUCCAACUACUUUAGUCAACUUUAGAUUAGACCUCAGAUCAGGCAGGAUUACCCGCUGAACUUAAGCAUAUCA